UAUAUAAAGUCUAACCUGCCCACUGAAAUUUAAAGGGCCGCGGUAUAUUGACCGUGCGAAGGUAGCAUAAUCAUUAGUCUUUUAAUUGGAGGCUGGAAUGAAUGGUUGAACAAAAAAUAGUCUGUCUCAGCACUAAAAUUAGAAAUUAACUUUUAAGUGAAAAGGCUUAAAUUUUACAGAGGGACGAUAAGACCCUAUAAAGCUUUAUAUUAAUUGGAUGAGUAAUAAGAAUUAAAAAUUAUUUAUCUAAGAAAUAUUAUGUUGGGGCGACAAAAAUAUAAAUUGUAACUGUUAAAAAGUGUAAACUUAAAAUAAAAGAUUUAAAUAUUGAUCUUUUAAUAAAGAUUAUAAGAUUAAGUUACUUUAGGGAUAACAGCGUAAUCUUUUUUGAGAGUUCUUAUCGACAAAAAGACUUGCGACCUCGAUGUUGAAUUAAGAAGUCCUUUUGGUGUAGCCGUUAAAUGGGAAGGUCUGUUCGACCUUUA
rnacentral:rRNA from 1 species